rnacentral:lncRNA from 1 species
GGGCUAGGGGUCAAAUUGGAGCUGCAGCUGCUGGCCUCCACCACAGCCAUGCGACACUGGAUCUGAGCCACAUCUUCAACCUAUGCCACAGCUUGGGGCAACGCCAGGUCCUUAACCCACUAAGUGAGGCCAGGGAUGGGACCCGCAUCAUCAUGGAGACAGUGUCAGGUUCUCAACUGGCUGAGCCACAAUGGGAACUCCUAGCUUGCAACUUUCUAGUCCUACUUGAGCCAGUACUGUUUGUGACUUGGGACAAGUCAUUAAAGUGCUGGACCUGGGAUUGUGACACAUAUUAUCUUAACAUCUGUAAGCGCUGCUUGAGUGAAUGAGUGAAUGAAUGAAUGGGCUCUUGAUAUUGGCUCUUAGCAAAUUCAGUAGUUUCCCGCCAGCCCUGCUACUUCCACAAGGAGCCUCUGGAGAUGCCUUGCAAAGCAACGGGUGCUGGACAUAUGCUUAUAAUGUUUUCCUCAAUCGUCCUCUGUCCUGUCCAGACUCCAGGAGUUCUGGGAGGAAUUGGGGAGGGGGGGAGAGAAAGAAAAAAGAAAAAAAACAAACCCUCAGGAAAAAAAAAAAAAAAAAAAAAACAACCCACUUUAAGAAGAUUCUGCCGCCUCCAGACAUGAGGAAAAACCGAUGGCCUAAUUCAUUUGCCAUGGUGACUAUUUCAUCCGCGGGACUGACGCUGCCGGGUAGCUUGGUCUGCAAAGGCUCCCUUUCAAGUAAGCCAACUGCUCGGCGUUCCAGGCUCACAACGCGGAGGGCAGAUGCGGCUUCUUCUUGGAACAUGCUUGUCAGUGGGCCACAAAAUCCAAAGGCACCCCCCCCAAAUCUAACCAACUUCUGUUUUUUUUUCCCCCAGAUUUCCAGAUCUGAGUAUCCAUGUGGUUCCUUCAUUAGGAUCCUAAGACAUCUGGGGACCAGAAAUGGAAGAGACUUCCUUAUGCUGAGUGCCUACCACACGCCUGCAUUGUGCUAAGCCCUUUCCCAUAUGUUAUCUUAGAGAACUCCCCUCCCCCCAACCCCACCAGAAUGGGAUUACUAUUUCCAUUAUACAAAUGAAAAAACAGAAGCUCAGAGAGGUUGACUUACUUGCCCAAGGUCACAUCAGUGGGACGCGGUAGUUCCUGAAUCUGAGUGAAGACAGUGACAUCAUCAAGGGGUGGUUUGAGAGGCUUUCCAUCAUCUCCAGCAGCUGUUCACCCCAACCCCCUCCCCAGUAAACACACAAUCUAAGUAGAAGACCACACAGGGGAGCAAAAUGAAGUUUUGACACGUGGUGCCCUGCCUGUCAUCUCACUUUCAAUGAGAUGGUUCCCCAGAUCCCAUCUACACAGACGUUCUGGAGUCCACCCUGAAUCAAGACCUGUCUGGCUCCAAAACCAUCUUCUUCCCAACACAACCAGGAUGCCUCUUCUCUUAGCUUCCUACCAAAAAGACCUUUGUUUUCUUGAAAGCUUGACCCAGAAGAGCCAACCAAUCAGCGUCGGAUUUUCCUAAUGGUGCCUGCUACCACCAUCUUGCCAGGCCAUCAAAUGCUCCACACUCCCCCGGGGGCUUGACACACUGCAUCCUGGCUGGUAAGCACCCCUGGCUUGAAGAAGCACGGGGCCAGCAGUGUGGACUAGAAUCUCAAGUUACUUUGAAACAUCUACCGGCCAAGGUCCAGUUGAUUUUUCAGUUCCAACUAAUUUUUUUCAGCCUCUACAUGUAGAGACCAGCGGUGUUUAACAUGGCUGUCCUGACGCAGGCCACUCCAACCACCCCUGCCCCCACCCCACUCCACUGUGUGAAAGGGACCCGGGCUUGAUCAGAAGGAAAAUAGUUUUUGGAGGCUAAAUGUUCAGCAGUGAACAUCUCACCACGGACUAGCUGGAAAAUACAGAAAGCUACAGUUCCAAAAUUUCCGAGUCAUCAACCUCCCUGCCUUCCCACAAGUAUUAUUGUUUCAUUUUAUAGAUGAGGAACUGGAGGGCCCAGGAAGUUAAGGGCCAGUACGUCAUGGACGUGAUGAGCUCACAUCUGUAGAUUUCACACCCAGCGCUCUUUCCAUCGCAUCUGAAGUUGCUUCUUUUACUACCCAGGUCCCCAUCGACAGAGGAAUGGAUAAAGAAGAUGUGGUACAUGUAUACCAUGGAAUAUUAUUCUGCCAUAAAAAAAGAAUGAAAUAAUGCCUUUUGCAGCAACAUGGAUGGACGUAGAGAUUCUCAUACUCAGUGAGGUUAGUCAGACAGAGCAAGACAAACAUCAUAUGAUAUCACUUAUAUGUGGAGUCUAAAAAUAGGAACCUUUUUGCAGAACAGAAACAGACUCACAGACUUUGAAAACAAACUUAUGGUUACCAAAGGCGACAGGUGUGUGUGGGGAGGAGGGAUGGAUCGAGGGUUUGGGAUUGGCAUGUGCACACUGAGGUAUAUGGAAUGACCGGCCAACCAGGACCUGCUGUAUAGUGCAGGGAACUCUAGCCAAUAUUCUGUGAUAACCUAUGUGGGCAAAACUCUGAAAGAGAAUGGACGUAGGUACAAAUAUAACUGAAUUACUUUGCGGUGCAGCUGAAAUGAUCACCACCUUGUAAAUCAGCUCCACUUCAAUACAGCUUUAAAAAAUGAAAAAAAAAAAAAAGGACGAAGGGUGCUUCAGAGCUUAGCUUGGCACUCAGGUGAAACCACUCGUUCCAGGUGUGGGUGUAGCCUCAAGAGAAGAGGUGGCCUCUGAGGAGUCGCAGGCCAGGUCAUCUGAAGGUGCCUGGUCAGCCAUGCCAUAGGGCCGAGCGAGACAGGGGGGAGAGAGAGAGCCAGUGCUGGCCAGAGUGAAGAUCUCCAUCAGUUUCUGAAUUACCAGCAUAUCCUCAAGCACCCACUGGUCCACCGGGAGCCUGAGAAGGUGGCAGUCUCUGAGGUGGCAUCCAGGCCAGCAGUAAGUUCCCAGACCAGGCAGCUUUCUGCUGAGGUUGUCUUGAACCGCAGCUGUGGGUUUCCUGUAGCAUCGUAUCAGCACUGUGAGGCACACUGAUGCAGCCAGGUUGCUUCUGAGCCAACUGGUGGGCUGGCACAGUGGACCCACUGCUGGCAGGGGCCUCACCGGGGCUGGGGGCUCUGGCUUCUGGGACAAGAGCUGGAUCAGGCAGGGUUUUUCGCCUCUCCUUCUGCCCAGGCUGAGAGACAGGGUACCAUCUGCCAUCACAGGAGCUGGUAGCAGGGAGCCACCUGAUGGCCAGGUGAGCGGUGGCUCCAGGUGUGGACACUCCCUGGCACUUCCUGGAUGUGGGAGGCCCCCAAUGAGUGCACAUCUCACUGCUAAGGCAGAUGUCCCUGGAGGCCAUCUCCUCUGCCCACUGUCACCCCAGGAGCCCUGCUCCUGAGACAAGCACCCCUUCCCCCUUCCAGCCAGUGGGGUGCUCUUCUGAUUCCCAAACCCUUUCACUGCCAGAGCUCCAGGUACAGAGGGUGCUCAAACACUUGGUGAAUCAAUGAAUCAACUGUGCGUGUCACACCCACACACUCCUGUGGAAUGGGCACGAUCUUCCUCGUUUUUCUGAGGACAGAGUGCUCCUGGUCUCAGCUUGCAAGUUGCAGAGCUGGGGACCAAACUAAGACUUCUGCCUUCUAAUCAGAGUGCCUCCCUCCACCCCCCAAAUCUACCAGGUAUCAUCUCAGAGCAUUGUUGGCUCCACGAGGGCCCAGAUGCAUCCCUGUCCAUCUGCCCCUGACAUGCCUGCUGCCUCAAGUCAAGAUACACAGCAGAUUCCUUGGUGAACCAGCCCCAGCAGAGGCAGGAAUCCCACAGAAGGCUCCUGUUGUGCCCUGCGGGGAUAAAGCCUGGCCCACUUCAUCAGGGGGACAGAGGGUCACCUGCUGAAGGGGCGACAUGCUUCGGCACUGGCCUCAGGCUGGCGGAGGCCCAGAGAGAGGGCCUGGGAAAUGGCCCUGGGAGUUUUCCAGAAUUACUCCACAGGUUCGAGGCCGGCUCUGAGGAAGGAAGCGCCUGACUCUUCAGAGCGGGGUUCAGCUUCUAGGGCACCCCCACCCCUCGGCACCCCCUCGCUCUUUUGCUCCUUGCCAGCCCUCCCCCUAGUUCUCCCAGAGCCACCCCCACCCACAACACACCGCAUCCUUUGCGGAAACAGCCCCACCCUAGCCUUCCAGGCCUUCCGAGGCUCUGUCUGCAUCAGGGUCCCCUACGCCCUUGAACAUGGGGUUGUAAAAUGUGCUUCUUCCUGACGUGGUUUCCUCUUCUGUUUGCAGUUGGAAACUGUGACCACAAAAGUGACCGCCACAGUACACUGGAAGAGGCCCUUGCACAACGGGGCUAGGGACAGUGCUCGGGGGUGGCUGUAUCUUUGCAGCACUUGUGAGCUUCAUUCUGGUGGCGUAAGAAGAUCUCAGAGCAUCCACUCAGACCUGGAGAGAGGAUUCCUGGGAGAUAAGCAGCUUCGAAACCUGGCACAUCUCAUUCAUCCGCAUUUCCCUUUCCCUCAGCUGAAGGGCAGCUUCUGACAUCUUUAGAUUCCUCCUUCUUGGCUUUGCAAGAUGUCCUGUAUUUAUCCAAAUUGGUGUCCAGAUCACACACAUCGUCCCCGAAGUCAGAAGUGUUCCCACUAUGGACCACCUUAAGUGUUCCCAACCCAGCGGCAUCACUCAUGAGCUAGGUCAGAUAGCACUUACCGAAGUUCCCACUGUGGCUCAGUGGAAACGAAUCGACUAGUAUCCAUGAGGAUAGGGGUUCGAUCCCUGGCCUCACUCAGUGGGUUAAGGAUCCAGCAUUGCUGUGAGCUGUGGUGUAGGUCGCAGACAUACUCAAAUCCUGGGUUGCUGCGGCUGUGGUGUAAGCAGGCAGGUGCACUUCCAAUUUGAACCCUAGCCUGGGAACUUCUGCAUGCUGUACGUGUGGCCCAAAAAACAAAAAAAGAAGAAAAGAUAGCACUUACCUUGGAGUGUUGUUAUGAAGAUAAGACAAGUUAACACACAUCAAGCUCUUAAAACAAAUCUGGGUACCAUGCUUGCUCUCGCCACUGUCCAGGUGGCUCCUCUUUCUCUUGGUCUCCACUCUGCACAAAACGGUUUGAUAUUUGAAGUCAUCAGAUUCUCAAUGGCCAGGCAGGCUGAUUGGCCUACAGGGUGUGUGUACCGUGCUCUCUUCCUUUUCUGGAACUGAGGGGCAUCACCCAAGUUUAUGUACCCCCCAUACCUGGGGGUGAAUGUAGCAUCUUAACCCACGCCCCUGCCCCUCCACCCUGGGGAGAGCACUUAGUAAACAGAAACAGAUUCCUGAGACCCUUACAGCCACAUAUGGUUUGCAACUGCUUGAAGAAUUGGGUGAUGCUCCGUGUUAUUGACCACAGCCUAAAUCGUGCCUCCCUGCAGCCAUCUUACUGCUGCCUGAAUGGAAAGUCAGCAUGCCUAGCGCUCCACCUGGGAAGUGCCUCGGUUCCUCUCCAGAGACCCGGAGCCCCCUGGUUUCCCUACCCUUUAGGAACCAUGUGCAGCCACCGCUGCCGAGCCCGCCCCCCGGAGCCCACGGCUCAGCUGACUGUGGCCACCCCUACAGGGUGGGGACAUCCCUUUGGAAAACAACCAGAACUGCCUGGGUGUUGGGCUGGUGCUGGGGAAGCCCGGGUGACUGGCAUGAUGUCAGGCAGCCAGGCAACUGGAAGAUGUCAAAAGUGACUCUGUGAACACAGCCUGCUGGUGCCCAGCUGCAAAAUGUGGAGCCAGGUUUAAAAAAAAAAAAAAAGUGGGGCCAGGUUAUGUGCCCUCAGCGUUUCAAAGAAGCAAAGCAGUUGGAAAGGAGUGGCCCUGGCACAAACCUCCCGGCACCUGUGCAUCAAUGGCGGCCUCUCCGUGGCUACCAGUGCUGACCUUCUCACCAGGAUGCGGGCACCUCCCCUCUGGGCACUCUGGUCCCAGCGAUAAACAUGAACCCUUGCAUCCUGCUCACUGCUUGUCCAGUGGUGUGAAAGGUGCAGGGGAGGGACAGGCUCAAGGUCACACAGACACCGCAGCUGUGCCCUCAGUUGGGGCCGUGUGUCCGGGGAUGCUGGUGCUGAAUCCGCUCCUGGGCUGGGCAGAGUGUUUGCACCCAAACCUUCAUGCAGGCGGUCCCUUUGCCCUCUGGCCUCGUGAGAACUGGAUGAGGUCAUGGGGUCCUGGCCUGUAGAGGACCUCUUCCUUAAGAAGGCUGUCUUGAUGACAAGAUUGAGGCCAGCAGUACUGACGUGAAAGAUGACGGGAAGCGUAAGGGCCAUGAUGGAAGUCCCAGGGGCCCUGGCUGUGAUCGGCACAGCCGUUUCACCGCAGCCUCCCCACGGUGCCCAGUCCCAGCCAAUCUUCUUCCCUUCACAGUCGAGUCAGAGCCACGAGGUAAGUGAGCAACUGAGCUCCCACCCAAACCCAGGCCUGUCUGAGGUCGAAGCUCCCUGCCUUCUCC